UCUACGGGAGGCAGCAGUGGGGAAUUUUGGACAAUGGGCGCAAGCCUGAUCCAGCAAUGCCGCGUGAGUGAAGAAGGCCUUCGGGUUGUAAAGCUCUUUUGUCAGGGAAGAAACGGUUGGGGCUAAUAUCCUCAGCUAAUGACGGUACCUGAAGAAUAAGCACCGGCUAACUACGUGCCAGCAGCCGCGGUAAUACGUAGGGUGCAAGCGUUAGUCGGAAUUACUGGGCGUAAAGCGUGCGCAGGCGGUUUUGUAAGUCUGUCGUGAAAGCCCCGGGCUUAACCUGGGAAUUGCGAUGGAGACUGCAAGGCUUGAAUCUGGCAGAGGGGGGUAGAAUUCCACGUGUAGCAGUGAAAUGCGUAGAGAUGUGGAGGAACACCGAUGGCGAAGGCAGCCCCCUGGGUCAAGAUUGACGCUCAUGCACGAAAGCGUGGGGAGCAAACAGGAUUAGAUACCCUGGUAGUCCACGCCCUAAACGAUGUCUACUAGUUGUCGGGUCUUAAUUGACUUGGUAACGCAGCUAACGCGUGAAGUAGACCGCCUGGGGAGUACGGUCGCAAGAUUAAAACGUCAAAAGUGUAGUUAGGCGNGUGAGAGUCGACGAGCACACGGAGGGUUAGG
rnacentral:rRNA from 1 species